GGUAAUUACUGAGAUUCUCCCGGGCGGGAACCGGCGCCGGUUUUCCACGUGAGGCCGCCAUCUUGACCACGUGGCUGACAAAUGAUUAAUUAAUUGUUAUAA